rnacentral:rRNA from 1 species
GUGGGGAAUAUUGGACAAUGGGCGAAAGCCUGAUCCAGCCAUGUCGCGUGUGUGAAGAAGGUCUUCGGAUUGUAAAGCACUUUAAGUUGGGAGGAAGGGCAGUAAGUUAAUACCUUGCUGUUUUGACGUUACCGACAGAAUAAGCACCGGCUAACUUCGUGCCAGCAGCCGCGGUAAUACGAAGGGUGCAAGCGUUAAUCGGAAUUACUGGGCGUAAAGCGCGCGUAGGUGGUUUUGUAAGUUGGAGGUGAAAUCCCCGGGCUCAACCUGGGAACUGCCUCCAAAACUGCAUGACUAGAGUACGGUAGAGGGUAGUGGAAUUUCCUGUGUAGCGGUAAAAUGCGUAGAUAUAGGAAGGAACACCAGUGGCGAAGGCGACUACCUGGACUGAUACUGACACUGAGGUGCGAAAGCGUGGGGAGCAAACAGGAUUAGAAACCCGGGUAGUCC